rnacentral:rRNA from 1 species
AUCCUUCUCGGCCGUAGCUUCCUAGUUUUUCGUUGCAGCGAUACUUGCGAACCGACGGUGUUCGGUCAAUAGAGACACCAUUGAAAAGACUGUGGAGAUCGAAGUUUGAGGCUUCUAGAUUUCCUAACUAUCCGGUGCGAAAGUGCCAAGCAUAAGCAUGACCUUUAGUCUUAGUUUGCUCGAAAAUGGGAAAACAAGGUGUGUUCUAAAGACAAGAGCAACUCGAGUAGAAUCCUGUGGACGCAAUAGAAAAUUGUCUACACGGCGGAGUCGGUUUGAGGGGUGGACUGUUACAGAAGGCGGGCCUAGCCGGGCCAUUCUGGCCCGGAACCUCGGUUUUCCUCCCCUGUACGGGGCGAAGGCUGGGUGCCUUAUUCAUUUUAUUGCAAUUUUCAUCACCAUAAAGUGAACGCGGGCACUCCCGAGGGUGAAUAGUAUGUGGAGAGUUCAGUAAAGUGUUUCAGCCUGAUCUCAGUUCGAGUUGUCCCAGAAGAAAGGGGCGACUAAGACGGUUCGGGUAAGGGAUCCUACACCAAAGCGACCUAUCAUCUCUCCCUGUCACCCUUAGAGCAAUUAGGUAAGUACACGCAGUGAUUAAUCUACUGCUCCGUAAACCGAUGGAAUUCUCUCAGUAUCAAUGAGGGCAGCAAAUGGGCGUGAACCAACUUAAAGAAGUGAAACUGUAAGUCUCGUGACCCGUCUUUAGUGUAACGCAGUCGUAGGCGCUC